rnacentral:misc_RNA from 1 species
CAACCUUCAAGCCUUAUUUGCUUGACGUUGGGAACUUACAGCUGCUGUAAUUCCUUAAAUCUAGUGGCGGAGCUAGGUGUUGCUCUAAGCGUAGUAAUUUUAUUCUCGCUUCUGAAGCUACCCUGUAUCUUGCCGUAAAAAACCCCCUAAUUUUCUAAUGG